UGUGAGGUAUGCUGGAGGUAUCAGAAGUGCGAAUGCUGACAUAAGUAACGAUAAAGCGGGUGAAAAGCCCGCUCGCCGGAAGACCAAGGGUUCCUGUCCAACGUUAAUCGGGGCAGGGUGAGUCGACCCCUAAGGCGAGGCCGAAAGGCGUAGUCGAUGGGAAACAGGUUAAUAUUCCUGUACUUGGUGUUACUGCGAAGGGGGGACGGAGAAGGCUAUGUUGGCCGGGCGACGGUUGUCCCGGUUUAAGCGUGUAGGCUGGUUUUCCAGGCAAAUCCGGAAAAUCAAGGCUGAGGCGUGAUGACGAGGCACUACGGUGCUGAAGCAACAAAUGCCCUGCUUCCAGGAAAAGCCUCUAAGCAUCAGGUAACAUCAAAUCGUACCCCAAACCGACACAGGUGGUCAGGUAGAGAAUACCAAGGCGCUUGAGAGAACUCGGGUGAAGGAACUAGGCAAAAUGGUGCCGUAACUUCGGGAGAAGGCACGCUGAUAUGUAGGUGAAGUCCCUCGCGGAUGGAGCUGAAAUCAGUCGAAGAUACCAGCUGGCUGCAACUGUUUAUUAAAAACACAGCACUGUGCAAACACGAAAGUGGACGUAUACGGUGUGACGCCUGCCCGGUG
rnacentral:rRNA from 1 species